GACGAACGCUGGCGGCGUGCCUAAUACAUGCAAGUCGAGCGGACGAAUCGAAAGCUUGCUUUUGAUUCGUUAGCGGCGGACGGGUGAGUAACACGUGGGCAACCUGCCCUGUAGACGGGGAUAACACCGAGAAAUCGGUGCUAAUACCGGAUAACACGAAAUGUCGCAUGACGUUUCGUUGAAAGACGGCGCAAGCUGCCGCUACAGGAUGGGCCCGCGGCGCAUUAGCUAGUUGGUGAGGUAACGGCUCACCUAGGCGACGAUACGUAGCCGACCUGAGAGGGUGAUCGGCCACACUGGGACUGAGACACGGCCCAGACUCCUACGGGAGGCAGCAGUAGGGAAUCUUCCGCAAUGGACGAAAGUCUGACGGAGCAACGCCGCGUGAGCGAAGAAGGCCUUCGGGUCGUAAAGCUCUGUUGUUAGGGAAGAACAAGUAACGCAGUAACUGGCGUUACCGUGACGGUACCUAACGAGAAAGCCACGGCUAACUACGUG
rnacentral:rRNA from 1 species